UGGAUGGUCACACAGAGGGAGGGACACUUGGGAAGGAGAGAAGAAAAUGUCUUUUAAUUCCAGGAUUGAAGCUCAUCAAGGGUGGGGGUCAGCAUACUAAGUUCUUUUCUAACUUUAUCUUUCUAACUAAAGAUAAAAAGACAGAAUAGCUUCCUCAACCACAGUGGAGUUUCUUGUGUCUUUGACAAGCAGCGUAAUUAAGAUCUAGCAUAAACACAGAGCCUCGGAGGACAGUAAAAGCUGACUAAAUGGGAAUUUGUUCUGUUUGGCUUUUCUUUCCUCUAUUUAGAUUUUCAGUGGAAAUUUCACUCUGAAGCAGGGCCGGCCCUGGGCAAAAUUGUGGAGUCUGCAUCUUCUGGGGAACCACCAGCCAGAGGAGAUUGUGACAAACUGAAGAGCAGAUCUCUGUUUGGCUCCAGUGGGGAGCAGAGAUUUUAUGACUACUGUCAGCAGAUGCCAUAUUGAUAGUGUAAAUGAGAAAAAAUUACCCUUGGGGCAGACAUGGCUGAUGGAAGCUACAUCAAGACCUUGAAAGACAGCUAGUGAGGAGAGUCCCAGAGAUACCACAGAAACCUUUGGACAACACAGACAGCCUGUCUUAAUAAAA
rnacentral:lncRNA from 1 species